rnacentral:rRNA from 1 species
UACGUAGGUGGCGAGCGUUGUCCGGAUUUAUUGGGCGUAAAGAGCCCGCAGGCGGCUUGGCAAGUCUUUGGUGAAAUCUCCCGGCUUAACUGGGAGGGUGCCAGGGAAACUGCCAGGCUUGAGGCAGGGAGAGGGAUGCGGAAUUCCCGGUGUAGCGGUGAAAUGCGCAGAUAUCAGGAGGAACACCGAUGGCGAAGGCAGCUCGCUGGGACGUGACUGACGCUGAGACGCGAAAGCGUGGGGAGCAAACAGG